rnacentral:rRNA from 1 species
AUUGAACGCUGGCGGCAUGCCUUACACAUGCAAGUCGAACGGUAACAGGUCUUCGGAUGCUGACGAGUGGCGAACGGGUGAGUAAUACAUCGGAACGUGCCCGAUCGUGGGGGAUAACGAAGCGAAAGCUUUGCUAAUACCGCAUACGAUCUACGGACGAAAGCAGGGGACCGCAAGGCCUUGCGCGAACGGAGCGGCCGAUGUCAGAUUAGGUAGGUGGUGGGAUAAAAGCUUACCAAGCCGACGAUCUGUAGCUGGUCUGAGAGGACGACCAGCCACACUGGGCCUGAGACACGGCCCAGACUCCUGCGGGAGGCAGCAGUGGGGAAUUUUGGACAAUGGGCGAAAGCCUGAUCCAGCCAUGCCGCGUGCAGGAUGAAGGCCUUCGGGUUGUAAACUGCUUUUGUACGGAACGAAAAGACUCUGGUUAAUACCUGGGGUCCAUGACGGUACCGUAAGAAUAAGCACCGGCUAACUACGUGCCAGCCGCCGCAGUAACAC